rfam:Lactobacillus farciminis strain CNCM-I-3699-S genome.
GGGUUAUUUGUUUUUCUCAGGAGUAAUUUUGACAAAAGCAAGUAAACAAGAGGCUAUACUAGCGCAUGUCCUUGCUGUGGUUUUCACCGAGGUCAUGCGCUUUUUG